ensembl:lncRNA
GUGGAAUUAGUUGAAAUCUCAGCAAUAUUUUCAAGUGCUCAUUAAGUGUGAAAACAGGCAAAGAACAGGCUUUUCCUCGCAAAGCAAAAGUUUUCUGGUUUUCCACUUUGCUCCUUUGAAGAGCAAAAAGAGCACAAAAUAGCAACACAAACAAGCCAAGAGAACCCCAAAAGCACCUCUGAUACACCUGACGUGGCUCCUGCUCUCCCACCGUGCAUUUUUCAAGCCUGGGCUGGGCGAGGCUGUGCUGGGCAAUGCCAGAGCCCAGCAGCUCCUGCCGUGGCACGUGGAACGAGCCAGGAUGGCACGGGCACCCCGCGCUCCCAGCCAGGCCCAGGGGACCCAGCCAGGGAAAACAGGCAGAGCGGAGCCAACGGGGCUCCGGGGAAAUUAAGGCAAAGUGGAAGUCCUGGCAAAGCGAGGUAGUAAUUCCCUUUCUGAGCGAGUGACUGUUUGGAAUUUAACCAGGCGAACGCGAUUAAGCCAAAUGGAUAUAAAUUCUAGGUGCGGCGGCAAGUAAUGAAGUGGAGAAAAUGAACAGCACCCAAUUAACAAGGAAAUCGGAUCUGCUGCAACGCGAGGGGAUCUAAUGAAAAAUCAAGGCUCAACUGCCCCUUUCAAAAUUUUUCCAGAUGGAGAACACCCGUUUUACGUCGAGCAUCUUCUGGGAUACCCAGGGGAUUGCAGCAGCUGGGGAGAGCCAGGGAUGCUUUCCAAAGUCCUUGGAGAAGUGAACGCCUGGGAAGUGAACGUGCCUGCCUCCGUUCCUGUUCCUGCUCCCAUGUUCCCACUGCCCCAUUCCCAUUCCCAUUCCCACUGCCCCGUUCCCGUUCUCCCAUUCCCGUUCCCGUUCCCAUUCCCGUUCCCAUUUCCCCGCUCCCAUUCCCGUUCCCAUUCCCGUUCCCAUUUCCCCGCUCCCAUUCCCGUUCCCAUUCCCGUUCCCAUUUCCCCGCUCCCGUUCCCGUUCCCGUUCCCAUUCCCCCGUUCCCAUUUCCCCGUUCCCAUUCCCGUUCCCAUUCCCCCGUUCCCAUUCCCGUUCC